rnacentral:rRNA from 1 species
UACGUAGGGUGCAAGCGUUAAUCGGAAUUACUGGGCGUAAAGCGUGCGCAGGCGGUUUUGUAAGUCUGUCGUGAAAUCCCCGGGCUCAACCUGGGAACUGCGUUUGUGACUGUAUGACUAGAGUACGGUAGAGAGGGGUGGAAUUCCUGGUGUAGCAGUGAAAUGCGUAGAUAUCAGGAGGAACAUCGAUGGCGAAGGCAGCCCCUUGGACCUGUACUGACGCUCAUGGCACGAAAGCGUGGGGAGCAAACAGG